UUAUUCCUUUUUUCGGCCUGACUCUCCACCUCCAGCACUUGGGGAUGAAUAUUUACUUGUUUCUGAUUCUUUUUGGUGUAGUCACACUUCCAAGCAAUUAUGUUGCACUUUUUGCACUGAAUCACCUGGGCCGUCGAGUCAGCCUGAUGCUUUUCCUGUUCUUGCUGGGAAUUUCCAUUCUGACCAUCACAUUUGUGCCCGAAGAAAUGCAGACCCUGCGUGUGGUUUUGGCAACUUUGGGAGUAGGAUUUUCUUCUGCCGCUCUCACCAAUUUUGUUACCUAUGGAAAUGAACUAAUCCCCACUGUAAUCAGAGCAAUAGCUUUAGGAAUCAUUGGAAUUGCUGGUAAUAUCGGGGCAGCCCUGGCUCCCCUCUUGAUGAUCUUAAUGGUG